CCUUGACGGUACCUAACCAGAAAGCCACGGCUAACUACGUGCCAGCAGCCGCGGUAAUACGUAGGUGGCAAGCGUUGUCCGGAAUUAUUGGGCGUAAAGCGCGCGCAGGCGGUUUCUUAAGUCUGAUGUGAAAGCCCACGGCUCAACCGUGGAGGGUCAUUGGAAACUGGGGGACUUGAGUGCAGAAGAGGAAAGUGGAAUUCCAUGUGUAGCGGUGAAAUGCGUAGAGAUAUGGAGGAACACCAGUGGCGAAGGCGACUUUCUGGUCUGUAACUGACACUGAGGCGCGAAAGCGUGGGGAGCAAACAGGAUUAGAUACCCUGGUAGUCCACGCCGUAAACGAUGAGUGC
rnacentral:rRNA from 2 species